ACUCUCUCCUCCUGUUCUGUGUCUUCCUGUGGAUCCCCUUUGUCUACUUCUAUUAUGAGGAGAAGGAUGAUGACAACAUCAACAAGUGUUCACAAGUAAAAAAUGCUCUGAAAUACACAAUUGGAUUCAUCAUCGUCUGUGCAGCACUGCUAUUAAUUGGGGCCUUCGUUCCUCUUGAAGCCCCACCUAAUCAGAAUGGGACCCAGUGGGAAAAGAUGCAGUAUCUGUUUGAGGAGCUGGGAAACAACCGUAAGUAUUGUCUGACUGGU